rnacentral:rRNA from 1 species
CCUACGGGUGGCAGCAGUGGGGAAUAUUGGACAAUGGGCGAAAGCCUGAUCCAGCCAUGCCGCGUGUGUGAAGAAGGCCUUCGGGUUGUAAAGCACUUUCAGUGGGGAAGAAAGCCUUGGGGCUAAUACCCUCGAGGAAGGACAUUACCCACAGAAGAAGCACCGGCUAACUCCGGGCCAGCAGCCGCGGUAAUACGGAGGGUGCGAGCGUUAAUCGGAAUUACUGGGCGUAAAGCGCGCGUAGGCGGUCUGAUAAGCCGGUUGUGAAAGCCCCGGGCUCAACCUGGGAACGGCAUCCGGAACUGUCAGGCUAGAGUGCAGGAGAGGAAGGUAGAAUUCCCGGUGUAGCGGUGAAAUGCGUAGAGAUCGGGAGGAAUACCAGUGGCGAAGGCGGCCUUCUGGACUGACACUGACGCUGAGGUGCGAAAGCGUGGGUAGCAAACAGGAUUAGAUACCCGGGUAGUC